CAAGACAGAUACAAUGUUCCUUGAUUUAAGUCAUACAACCACUGGGAAUAUGACCCUAAAAAUAUGCCCAAGUUAACCCCAGCAGACCAUCAUUUUCUCCUGGUGUCUGAGAUAGUUGGUGCCAGAGAGACCAAAGAAGACGACCAAACAAACUAAGAUGGUCGAAGGAAGCAUAAAGUUCUGUUGUAUCCGUCUGCAUUCACAGGCAGCUGACCGAAACGUUUGCUAGUGUACAUCAAUCCCUACGGUGGAAAACAGCGUGGGAAGCGGCUUUACGAGCAGAGAGCAGCACCACUCUUCUCCCGAGCCUCCAUCUCCACCGACGUGAUCAGUGACUUACUGUCAUAGAGCCUACAUUAACAUUUACAUAACAAAUGAGCAUUUAUGGCCGGCAAAUAUUUUUUUGUUGACUUGGCAAACAGCCUAUACCCGCCAACCACUCCCAAGAAUAUGGUUUUAUUUAUAGCACCAUCCAUCAA
ensembl:lncRNA